rnacentral:lncRNA from 1 species
AUAUAGCAGUAGCUAGGUGGCAAAGUAGAUAGGGUACUGGACCUGGAGUCAGGAAGCCUGAGUUCAAAUAUGACCUCAUACACUUACUAGCUGUGUGACUCUGGACAAGUCACGUAACCUCUGUCUGCCUUAGUUUCCUUAAUGGUAAAAUGGAGGUAAAAACAUCACCUGCUUCACAGGGUUAUCAUGAGGAUCAAAUAGAUAAUAUUUGUAAAGUGCUGAGCACCUCACCUGGCAUAUGAACAGGUGAAGCAUUUUAACAAGAGCACCAGAAUCUGUUGCAUUACCAGGAGGUCCCAGAGUGACUCCAGAAAGGGAAAAGAGAGUGAAGAGCUUAUUCCAGAGAGACCAGGUAGGAAAAACCUCAAAGGUGAGUAGGACUGGGGAUAGCAAGGUGGCUCAGUGGAUUGAGAGCCAAGCCUAGAGACAGGAGGUCCCAGGUUCAAAUAUG